GGGGAUUUGGCUCAGUGGUAGAGCCCUUGCCUAGGAAGCGCAAGGUCCUGGGUUCAAUCCCCAGCCCCG
rnacentral:tRNA from 1 species